rnacentral:rRNA from 1 species
UAGGGAAUCUUCGGCAAUGGACGAAAGUCUGACCGAGCAACGCCGCGUGAGUGAAGAAGGUUUUCGGAUCGUAAAACUCUGUUGUUAGAGAAGAACAAGGACGUUAGUAACUGAACGUCCCCUGACGGUAUCUAACCAGAAAGCCACGGCUAACUACGUGCCAGCAGCCGCGGUAAUACGUAGGUGGCAAGCGUUGUCCGGAUUUAUUGGGCGUAAAGCGAGCGCAGGCGGUUUCUUAAGUCUGAUGUGAAAGCCCCCGGCUCAACCGGGGAGGGUCAUUGGAAACUGGGAGACUUGAGUGCAGAAGAGGAGAGUGGAAUUCCAGGUGUAGCGGUGAAAUGCGUAGAUAUAUGGAGGAACACCAGUGGCGAAGGCGGAUCUCUGGUCUGUAACUGACGCUGAGGCUCGAAAGCGUGGGGAGCAAACAGG